rnacentral:rRNA from 1 species
UGGGGAAUAUUGCACAAUGGGGGAAACCCUGAUGCAGCGACGCCGCGUGAGCGAAGAAGGUUUUCGAAUCGUAAAGCUCUGUCCUAUGAGAAGAUAAUGACGGUAUCAUAGGAGGAAGCCCCGGCUAAAUACGUUCCAUCAGCCGCGGUAAUACGUAGUUCCCGAGCGUUGUCCGGAUUUAUUGGGCGUAAAGCGAGCGCAGGCGGUUAGAAACGUCUGAAGUGAAAGGCAGUGGCUCAACCAUUGUAGUCUUUGGAAACUGUUUAACUUGAGGGAAGAAGGGGAGAGUGGAAUUCCAUGUGUAGCGGUGAAAUGCGUAGAUAUAUGGAGGAAGACGGGGGGGGAAAGCGGCGCUCUGGUAUGUAACUGACGCUGAGGCUCGAAAGAGUGGGGAGCGAACAGG